UUAAGCUAUCACCAGUCAUUGGAAGGGCUGAGUAAAUUUUCUUUCCUUUUUAUUUUUUUUCCCCCCAGUCUGCUAUUGCUCUGCAGGGUCUGUAUCCUACUAGAAAGCUCUGUCACUGCCUUCUUUUGCCAUGUAAUCUGUUAAUCGGAUAGAACUGGCAUCGUGUGGAAGAUCCUCUUCUGUGCAAAGUGACUGAAGGCACCUUCCUCAGCUUGCCCUGGGAUGCCAGGUGCCAUGACCCUUUCCAAGCCCUGGGCUGGGCUCUCGCCCCACACAGCAAUGUCUUGUACUCUGGAGACUAGGAAGGAACACAGGAAUCCACAUGCAGAGUCUCACGUUCCCAUAAAACAGAGAGGCUUCUUUGGAGAGCUGCUAAAGCUUCAAGCCAUCUUCACCAGUCCAUUUCUGACUGCAUUUCUCUUAAUUUGCACUGCACUGUCAGUACUAAAGUACCAGCAAGGAUUAUAGUAGUGAUAUAGCGGUAAGAAAUUUGUAAAGCAUUAAAGCAAGAAUAGGCCUUUUUUUCCUUCAUGUGAUUUUUCUUCAUUUCUUCAAAAUCUGACAACUAGAUGCACUUUAUAGCAACCACCUCAUACGCUGUAUUUUUUCACUCAUAAAGACAUGACUGUGACAAACACAGCUGCUGAAGCAUAGGCGUAGAGGUUGUUUUGAAGCACACGUUAUUUAGAUCCUUAAGAAAAGAAAAAAAUCUCUUGAAGAGAAUGCAGAAAGUCCUUCAGGUUCCUGUGGGCACUGAUCCAGAGAACAUGAGAAUUCAGACAACUAUAAAUACAUUGUAUGCUUCACUUAACUCCGGUGACCGAAGGUGCAGAGCUCCAGCAGCGUCAAUCUUAGUUCUACCAGUCUCUAAGCCCGCAAGCACUGCAAACAUGAGUAAGAUUUCUUGCAGGCUUCUGAGUUCAGCGUUGGAAAAAUAUCAGGUUGACAAGUCAGAUUUGCUCACUGUCAUGAGUGCUGGUUAUCCUAUCUACCACCC